AUAUUUAUUCUAAACACGAAAUAUAAAAUUCAAAGUUAUAUAUUUUUACUUAAAAAUCACGUUUCUAUCGAAUUACCCAGCAAAUGAACGAUUCGAAAUUUCCAAGAAUAGCAAAACAUCGAAUUUCUUGCAAGCAUAAGUCUACGGGUGGAAACAUUUUGAGAGCCGUGGAAUUAAUGAAUUAAUGUCGCCGGGAAACGGUGUCGACAGCGUUAAACGACACGAUAAACUUUCAACGAAGGCUAAGAGCAUUAAGUGCUCUCUUUUUAUAUCGAUUAACAUCGUUAGCGGAAUUAUAAUUUUUUAAAAAGAUUCAUUUUUAAAUCCAAUUUUAAAAAAA